GAUGAACGCUGGCGGCGUGCCUAAUACAUGCAAGUCGAGCGAACAGAUAAGGAGCUUGCUCCUUUGACGUUAGCGGCGGACGGGUGAGUAACACGUGGAUAACCUACCUAUAAGACUGGGAUAACUUCGGGAAACCGGAGCUAAUACCGGAUAACAUAUUGAACCGCAUGGUUCAAUAGUGAAAGGCGGCUUUGCUGUCACUUAUAGAUGGAUCCGCGCCGUAUUAGCUAGUUGGUAAGGUAACGGCUUACCAAGGCAACGAUACGUAGCCGACCUGAGAGGGUGAUCGGCCACACUGGAACUGAGACACGGUCCAGACUCCUACGGGAGGCAGCAGUAGGGAAUCUUCCGCAAUGGGCGAAAGCCUGACGGAGCAACGCCGCGUGAGUGAUGAAGGUCUUCGGAUCGUAAAACUCUGUUAUCAGGGAAGAACAAAUGUGUGAGUAACUGUGCACAUCUUGACGGUACCUGAUCAGAAAGCCACGGCUAACUACGUG
rnacentral:rRNA from 1 species